rnacentral:rRNA from 1 species
UACGUAGGGUGCGAGCGUUGUCCGGAAUUAUUGGGCGUAAAGGGCUCGUAGGCGGUCUGUUGCGUCAGGAGUGAAAACUCGGGGCUUAACCCCGAGCCUGCUUCUGAUACGGGCAGACUAGAGGUAUGCAGGGGAGAAUGGAAUUCCAGGUGUAGCGGUGAAAUGCGUAGAUAUCUGGAGGAACACCGGUGGCGAAGGCGGCAUCCUGGACCGAUAUUGACGCUGAUGCGCGAAAGCCAGGGGAGCAAACGGG